UUCCAAAUAAUUAAAUUUAAAUUUGAGGGUGCAGAUAAUAAACGAUAAAGCCUAUUAUAGCGCAUACGAUUGCGAUAUACCUCUAUACGUUUACACUUUAUUCAUUUUUAUUAUAAUUAGCAGUAUUAGAUUAGGUAUACCAAAUUAUUAAAAAUUCAGGGAAUUUAUAAUAAUGUUAUUGUUGUUUUAUGUCGAGCCGGGCCCGUUGGAAUUUCAUG